rnacentral:tRNA from 1 species
CAAGAUGUAGCUUAAACAAAGCAUCUAGUUUACGCCUAGAAGAUUCCAUAAUUCAUGUACAUCUUGA